rfam:Erinaceus europaeus unplaced genomic scaffold scaffold00077, whole genome shotgun sequence
UCAUCACAUAGGAUAAUCUUUACAUGUUCCUCUUUUUGGAAAGAUGAUUAGAGCAUGACGAUAAGCAUUCACAUGACUUCUGGUUAUUAACUCUGCCACUGUAAUCAGAACUUUCAAUAUCUUUCAAACUAACUUAAUUCUCCUGACUCUGAU